rnacentral:rRNA from 1 species
CGGUGCUAAUACCGAAUGAUGCAGCGUCUCCGCAUGGGGAUGCUGUUAAAGCUUCGGCGCCAAGAGAUUAACCUGUAUCCCAUUAGAUAGUUGGCGAGGUAACGGCUCACCAAGUCUGCGAUGGGUAGCUGAUCUGAGAGGAUGAUCAGCCACACUGGAACUGAGACACGGUCCAGACUCCUACGGGAGGCAGCAGUGAGGAAUAUUGCGCAAUGGAGGAAACUCUGACGCAGCGACGCCGCGUGAAGGAUGAAGGCCCUCUGGGUUGUAAACUUCUGUAGAGAGGGAAGAAUUUCUCGUUUCGCGAGAUUGACGGUACCUCUAAAGUAAGGGUCGGCUAACUACGUGCCAGCAGCCGCGGUAAUACGUAGGACCCAAGCGUUGUCCGGAUUUACUGGGUGUAAAGGGAGCGCAGGCGGAUUAUUAAGUCGAUUGUGAAAUCUUGCGGCUCAACCGCAAAACAGCAGUCG